rnacentral:lncRNA from 1 species
GUUGCCCCCAUUGCCCCCCAUUGCCCCCCAUUGCUUCCCAUUGCCCCCCAUUGCCUUCCAGUGUCUCUCAUUGCCCCCCACUGCCCCCCAUCGCCCCCCAAUGCUUCCCAUUGCCUCCCAUUGACCCCUGGUGCCCUCCAUUGCCCUCCAGUGCCCCCCAGUGCCCCCCAUUUCCUCCCAGUCCCUCCCACUGCUUCCCAGUGUCUCUGGCUGCGUUCUGCGCAGUGCCCCCCAGGGAACCACUGGCCAUUGUGGCCACCAGGGCACACUGCUGCCUCCUGGUCACCCUGUUGUCAGUCCAUUGGCCACCACUGGCCUUCGUGGCCAUCAGGGCACAUUGCUGCCUCGUGGCCAACUUCUGUUCACCCCCUGGUCACCCUGUUGGUCAACCCUUGGUCAACCCAUUGGCUACCACUUGUCCUUGUGGCCACCAGGACACAUUGCUGCCUCCUGGUCACUCUGUUGGCCAACUCAUUGGCCACCACUGGCCUUUGUGGCCACCAAGGCUCACUUCUGCCUCAUGGCCAACCUCCAUUCACCCCUUGGUCACCCUGUUGGUCAGCCCUUGGUCAACCCAUUGGCCACCACUUGUCCUUGUGGCCACCAGGACACAUUGCUGCCUCCUGGUCACUCUGUUGGCCAACUCUUUGGCCACCACUGGCCUUUGUGGCCACCAAGGCUCACUACUUCCUCAUGGUCACCCUGUUGGUCAACCCUUGGUCAACCCAUUGGCUACCACUUGUCCUUGUGGCCACCAGGACACAUUGCUGCCUCCUGGUCACUCUGUUGGCCAACUCUUUGGCCACAAUUGGCCUUUGUGACCACCAAGGCUCACUUCUGCCUCGCAGUCCCCCUGUUGGACCCCCACGCCCUCCUCCCCACAGCUCCUUCCCCACAGCUCAGCCCCCGAUCCUCACAUUCCCCGUGUUUCCUGAUAGCCCUCAGCCACUUCUGAGUGCCACCACCCAUCACGAGUGCUGCAGGCCCGGGGGGGGCACAGGGCGGGCACCCAGUGAGAACAAUUCCGGGCAUUGA